AUACGUAGGGAGCGAGCGUUGUCCGGAAUUACUGGGUGUAAAGGGAGCGUAGGCGGGAAGGCAAGUUGGAUGUGAAAACUGUGGGCUCAACCGACAGACUGCAUUCAAAACUGUUUUUCUUGAGUGAAGUAGAGGCAAGCGGAAUUCCUAGUGUAGCGGUGAAAUGCGUAGAUAUUAGGAGGAACACCAGUGGCGAAGGCGGCUUGCUGGGCUUUUACUGACGCUGAGGCUCGAAAGUGUGGGGAGCAAACAGGAUUAGAUACCCUGGUAGUCCACACCGUAAACGAUGAUUACUAGGUGUGGGGGCGUCAAGCUUCCGUGCCGGAGUUAACACAAUAAGCAUUCCGCCUGGGGAGUACGGCCGCAAGGUUGAAACUCAAAGGAAUUGACGGGG
rnacentral:rRNA from 1 species